rnacentral:rRNA from 1 species
UACAGAGGUCUCAAGCGUUGUUCGGAUUCAUUGGGCGUAAAGGGUGCGUAGGCGGCGCGGGGAGUCGGAUGUGAAAUCUCGGAGCUUAACUCCGAAACUGCAUUCGAUACUGCCGUGCUUGAGGACUGGAGAGGAGACUGGAAUUUACGGUGUAGCGGUGAAAUGCGUAGAUAUCGUAAGGAAGACCAGUGGCGAAGGCGGGUCUCUGGACAGUUCCUGACGCUGAGGCACGAAGGCCAGGGGAGCAAACGGG